UACGGAGGAUGCGAGCGUUAUCCGGAUUUAUUGGGUUUAAAGGGUGCGCAGGCGGACUGUUAAGUCAGCGGUAAAAUGUCGGUGCUCAACACCGGCCGGCCGUUGAAACUGGCGGCCUCGAGUGGGCGAGAAGUAUGCGGAAUGCGCGGUGUAGCGGUGAAAUGCAUAGAUAUCGCGCAGAACUCCGAUUGCGAAGGCAGCGUACCGGCGCCAGACUGACGCUGAGGCACGAAAGCGUGGGGAUCGAACAGG
rnacentral:rRNA from 1 species